UGACCAGAACACUCCAUGUUGCCUCUUCACUUCCUGGGAACAAGGAAGAAGCUAUCUCACCCGGACUUGGAAGUGACAUGGCCUCACUUUCACCAUAGUCACAAGCCCUCCCAGAUUGAAGUGGAGAGGUUCUACCUCUCAACAGAAGUGUCAAAGUCACCUUGCAGGAAAGAGGAUGUGGGAUGGGAGAUAUCACUGUGGCCAUUUUGGAAAACACCAUCUGCCACAAAGACCUGUAAGGGCCUAAGUACUGAAGAGAUUACACUCAUCCCACCACCCAAAUGUAUUUCAAAUACAAACAACUCUAGACCAUAAAAUAGGGGCAAUGCAGCCCAAUAAAGUAUGAACUUCCUGUAACUCCUUCCAUGCUUUUUUUGCUGGUGGUGGAAGGGACAGGGUGUCAACCAUCAAAUACUGUAGCGAUAUAUUCUUUUUUUUUUUUUUUUUUUUGAGACGGAGUCUCGUUCUGUCGGCCAGGCUGGAGUGCAGUGGCAUGAUCUCGGCUCACUGCAAACUCCGCCUUCUGGGUUCAUGCCAUUCUCCUGCCUCAGCCUCCCAAGUAGCUGGGACUACAGGAGCCCCCCACCACACCCGGCUAAUUUUUUUGUAUAUUUUUAGUAGAGACGGGGUUUCACCAUGUUAGCCAGGAUGGUCUCAAUCUCCUGACCUCAUGAUCUGCCCGCCUCAGCCUCCCAAAGUUCUGGGAUUACAGGCUUGAGCCACCACGCCCAGCCAUCAAAUACUGUAGAGAUAUAUUCUUUUUCUUCACUCUCUUUUUUCUUAGGGGGUUGCCUCUGCUUUGCUGGUGCCCUAAGUGUGUGCUCAAACUAUAUGGUGGAUGCUCCAGCCUGGGGUAAGGGUGUUUUGGGCAGAGGGAGGAGAACAUGAAAAUAAGUUAAACAGCAAGAUUAGGUACACUUGGAUGGGUAGAAACCAGAGGGAGAAUGGUGAGACACGAUGCUGGAAGGCUGAUAAGAAACAGAUCAGGAAGAGCCUUGUGGGCCAAUCAUAAUACUGAGCAUCAAUAACAAUAGCACGCAUUCUGUUGUUCUUAGUAUUCUAAGCACUUUUCAUAAGCACACAUUUAACCACUCAACAACCCUGAGAGAUAGGUAAUAUGAUGGUUUUUUUUUUUCUGAGACAGUCUUGCUCUGUCGCCCAGACUGGAGUGCAGUGGCGUGAUCUUGGCUCACUGCUACCUCUCCUGGGUUCAAGCCAUUCUCCUGUCUCAGCCUCCCAAGUAGCUGGGAUUACAGGCGAGCGCCACCACUCCCGGCUAAUUUUUUUUUUUCAGUAGAGACGGAGUUUUGCCACAUUGGCCAGGCUGCGAUUAUUUCAUUUUAUGGAUGAGUUAAACUGGUUAAAUACUUUCUUCAGGCUCACACUGCUAGUAAGAGGCAGAAAUGUGAUUUGUGCCCAGGAAGUCUGGCCCCAGAACCUGCUCCCUUAACUGCAUAUUACUAAUCAAAGGAGUGUGCACUUCAGCCUGAAGGUGAAAGUGAGUGAUUUCCUAGAAUAUGAAAUUUGAUUAAAACAAAAGUAGAGAAUUUCACUAAAACCUUCUGGCCUGAUUUUGGAUACCUUGGGAAAUACAAACUCAAGAAUGAAAUGUUACAUCCUUUUUUUAAGGUAUACUAUACAUAUGAUUGUAACUCAUGCCUGUAAUCCCAACAUUUUGGGAGGCCGUGGCGGGAGGAUCACUUGAGGCCAGGAGUUUGAGACCAGCCCGGCCAACAUAGUGAAACCCUGUCUCCACUAAAAAUACAAAAAUUAGCCGGGAGUGGUGGCUCACGCCUGUAGUCCCAGCUACUCAGGAGGCUGACGCAGGAGAAUCACUUGAACCCGGGAGGCAGAGAUGGCAGUGAGCCGAGAUCGCACCACUGCACUCCAGCCUGGGCGACGGAGCGAAACUCCAUCUCAAAAAACAACAAAACAUCAAUCUUAAGAGUACAAACUUACGAGUUUUAUACAUGUGCACACCCAUAUAAUCAUUACUCGAAUAUCACAGACAUGAUGUUGGGUGAAAGAAG
rnacentral:lncRNA from 10 species